AACAGCAGUGAUGAGUUGAAUACCACCCCAGUCUGGUAACUGUGAUGAAACAUGUUUUCUGAGUUGUG